GCCCCCCCAUACCCCCCUAGCACCCCUCCGUACCCCCCCGGUACUGUCCUGCCCCCCUCGGUCCCUCUGUGCCCAACGGGACCCCCAGGGUGCCCCCCCCUGCAGCCCCCAUAUGCUGGGGUGCCCCCUCUCAUCCCCCCUGGGCUGGACAAGAAGGCAGCGAAGAAGAUGAAGAAGAGGAUGAAGAAGGCUCAAAAGAGGCACAAGCGCUCUUUGUCCUCCUCCUCUUCCUCCUCCUCCUCCUCCUCCAGCAGCGACUCCGACUGAUGGCGGUGCCACCCAUGUCCUGGGGCCACCUGGGGGCCAACCGUGUCCUCCUGUGGCCCCCCCACGUGCUGUGACCACCUGUGGAACCACCCAUGAGCACCUCCUGGAGUCUCAGGACCACCCAAGACCACCCGUGACCACAUGGACCACCUGGGACCACCCCGACCACCCCAUAUCCAUGUAGGACCUCCUGUGACCACCCCAUAUCCACCACUGACCCCCGUGCGCACCGGGUGUCCCCAUGUUCCUUCACCCCAAUGGGGCCGUGUGUGUGUGCUGAGGGGGUCUUUUGGCUUCAGUGUGUGUCAGCAUAUUAUGGGAUGGUCCCAUUGGAUUCUGUAGGAUCCCAUUGGGUUCUGUGGGGUGCUGUGGGUCUGGUGGGUUCCAUGGUGUCACAGCUGCUGGGGUUGCUGCUGCUGCCUCCAAAUAAAACCCUGAGACCCCCACA